rnacentral:rRNA from 1 species
UGGGGAAUCUUGGACAAUGGGGGCAACCCUGAUCCAGCCAUGCCGCGUGAGUGAUGAAGGCCUUAGGGUCGUAAAGCUCUUUCGCCUGUGAAGAUAAUGACGGUAGCAGGUAAAGAAACCCCGGCUAACUCCGUGCCAGCAGCCGCGGUAAUACGGAGGGGGUUAGCGUUGUUCGGAAUUACUGGGCGUAAAGCGCACGUAGGCGGACCAGAAAGUUGGGGGUGAAAUCCCGGGGGCUCAACCCCGGAACUGCCUCCAAAACUAUUGGUCUAGAGUUCGAGAGAGGUGAGUGGAAUUCCAAGUGUAGAGGUGAAAUUCGUAGAUAUUUGGAGGAACACCAGUGGCGAAGGCGGCUCACUGGCUCGAUACUGACGCUGAGGUGCGAAAGUGUGGGGAGCAAACAGGAUUAGAUACCCUGGGUAGUCCACACCGUAAAACGAUGAAUGCCAGUCGUCGGGUAGCAUGCUAUUCGGUGACACACCUAACGGAUUAAGCAUUCCGCCUGGGGAGUACGGUCGCAAGAUUAAAAC